ensembl:miRNA MIR1296 microRNA mir-1296
CCUACCUAACUGGGUUAGGGCCCUGGCUCCAUCUCCUUUAGGAAAACCUUCUGUGGGGAGUGGGGCUUUGACCCUAACCUAGCUGGGCUGU